UUGGGGCUUUGGCCUCAAGGGAGUGGCGCACGGGUGAGUAGCGCGUGGGAACCUGCCCUGUUGUGGGGGAUAACCGAGGGAAACUUCGGCUAAUACCGCAUGCGCCCGGUUAACUCGAAAGGGGCGACCGGGGAAAGAUUUAUCGCAGCAGGAGGGGCCCGCGUCGGAUUAGCUAGUUGGUGGGGUAACGGCCUACCAAGGCACCGAUCCGUAGCUGGUCUGAGAGGAUGAUCAGCCACACUGGGACUGAGACACGGCCCAGACUCCUACGGGAGGCAGCAGUGGGGAAUAUUGGACAAUGGGCGCAAGCCUGAUCCAGCAAUGCCGCGUGAGUGAUGAAGGCCUUAGGG
rnacentral:rRNA from 1 species